UACGGGGGGGGCAAGCGUUGUUCGGAUUUACUGGGCGUAAAGGGCGCGUAGGCGGCGCGACAAGUCACUUGUGAAAUCUCCGGGCUUAACCCGGAGCGGCCAUGUGAUACUGUCGUGCUGGAGUGCGGAAGGGGCCACCGGAAUUCUCGGUGUAGCGGUGAAAUGCGUAGAUAUCGAGAGGAACACCUGCGGCGAAGGCGGGUGGCUGGGCCGACACUGACGCUGAGGCGCGAAAGCUAGGGGAGCAAACGGG
rnacentral:rRNA from 1 species